CCCUUGGAAUGUUGGGAAAGCUAUGACUGUGACUGUUAUGACCGUUGGACUGAGCCACGGGGACCCUGAAAAUCUGCUCCUCAACCCCCUGACCACUACUGCUCUUACUGUAUUGACCACUGCCUCUGACGUUGUUUUUGUAUUGUUUCAUCCUCUUGUGAUAUGAUUGCAUCUACCCCAGUGCUUAGGACAUGAAAAACAGCAGUACAGUCCCUUAAGUUGGAAAAAGACGUAAGAAUGAAGGUGGAGGCGGAACACAGGCAACCAAGGAAACAAAGAAGAAAGUCUGACCAGUGAACAGGUGGAGUUCAAGAAGACAAAAGUGGACAUGUAUUUCAAAAUGAAGAAACUGGGACCCAGAGAGGUUAAACUGCUUGUCUGAGGUGACGCAGUUGUCCAGAGGCAGAGCUGGAUCUAGAACCCAAAUGCCUGCCUGCAAGUUGCACGCUCUUCCCACUAGGCCAUUCUGAAGAUCAUUAUGGUUUUGUGAAUUUGUGAAUGACCAAGAGCAAGUCCAGGGCAAAUGCAGUGUUGCAGCUGAGCGACGCAUCAAGCAAAGAGCCAUUUCAGGCGCUACAGGACAACGGCUUUGCGUGAAUAGCCUUGGCCUCCAUGGGCACCUUUAUACGAAGUAAGAGGACCAGGACUCGCCUGUUUUCACUAGGAGAGCCCAUCAGGACUCCAUCCGUUGGUGGGGGAGAUGAUGAUGGAGUCUUCCCCUGGGAACACUGGAUAAGCCUCCAUCUGUGGCAUUAGGACCAAGAACUUGGGCAAAGGAUUUGAUUAGUGGUUUUCCCUGCACCACUUGUGCUCUCUCUUCUCUGCCAGUCACGUCCAUGCUGGGGGAGAGAGGGCAAUGAGCUAGCACUUGAGCAGGACUGAAGCCCUUGGCAGAGCACACAUGAAGAUCCGUUUUUAUGUUGCUUUUUUAAAAAAAAAAAACAAA